UUGUCCAUAUUAUCGUUGGCUUGCUACAGUAUAAUAACACUAUAAUGAAAAAUUUUUACCUGAUAUUUCUAGUAGCCUUAAUUAUUAUUAAUCAAAGCGAUGAAGCAAAAGCAAGACAAUUGCGAUAUCUGAUGCUAACUAGAAACGGAGAAGAAACAGAAAAAGAACACGAGUCAACAGAAGCAGUUAAAAUGUAUGAAUCUACUACACAAAUAGAUGUUGAUAUUCAAGAUAAUCAGGCAAUUCAGAAUUUACCCAAAACUAAAAAUGGACACAAAACUCAAAUUAAUACAGAAACUCAACAAAGUAAACAAAUACCGCUGAAUGAGUUUGAGAAUUUGAAAGUAAAUGAAGAAGUAGUAACACUGUCAAAUGUUUCAAAUAAGCAGUAUGAGCAGCCUGCAUCAGUUAUACAAGCAGUUCCUAUACAGGAACCUGAUUAUCAUAAGAAGAUAUUUGGUCAGGAUUUGAAUCACCAAAAAAGCUAUAUUCAACCAACUAGUACACACAGACCACAAGCUAAUAAUCCUCUCAUGUUCACAAGACUAAACGAUGUCAGUUUUCCACAUGGUCGUUAUGAUUACAAUUACAAUCAAGGGUAUCCAAACAUUAAGCCCAUUGCAAUACCUCGAGGAAUCUAUCUUCAGAAAGGAUUUGGCCAGCAACACAUGCCUCCACGUGGACUCAUACAGCCUCUACUUACCGAACCCAUUUACAGUGAUCAUCAUAUUAUUGAAAGAACUUGGUAUUAUGAUUAAAAAAGAUAAUUGUAACUUGUAAAAAAUAUUAUAAGUUAACAAAUAAUAAUGCCAUGGCUGGGGUAAAGAUCGAUUAUUAUACAUGGCUCCUCAUCUUGCUAACGUGUGUGGUAGCUGUGAGUUUAGGAGACAGAAGCGCUAUCAUACAUCGUCACCACCACCACCGACGACGUCCCUUCAUCCUAGUGAACAAAAUGCCACGGGCCCGCGUUCCCAAAACAAUCAUUAUAUAACUAAUUCGUUUUGUUCACAUUAAGUGAACAAAACGAAUUACUGAGUUUGUAAAUUAAUUACAAACUCAGUGACGUGAUGACAAGACAAUGCCAAGUAAAUAAAUGAUCCU